ACAAGCCACAGAAGUUCCAGAAGGAUUUCUAAAGAAGAUAACUCCUAAACUGAAUCUGAUACAAUAAAUGACCUAGGAAACAAGCAAAAGGUCCCACUAAGAUAAUGUUAACUGUCAGCAACAAGAAGAGUUGAGUAUUUACUAUAUGCUAGGUGCAAUGAGGGACACCUGGAAGAAUCAGAGACAAGGAAGACAACCAGGACAUUCAGACCCAUCAGAGGAGUCCUGAAGUUAGAGGGGCUCAUCCUAUCUGGGAAUAAAGAGAGCGGAAGAAACUUCCACGCCUUUUAUGAUAUUUGAAAAGACUCCUCCAAGGUCCACAUCCAGUGUGGAGCCCAGUGGAGGGUUUGGACUCACAACCCUGAGAUGAUGACCUGAGCUAAGUAAGAUCAAGAGUUGAGUGCUUAACUGACUGAGCACCCGAGGUGCCCCAGUUACAUUUGUCUUGACAAAAGUCUGUAUCACAAGUAUAUAUAUUUGUCAAACUCAUUUAACUUUGCACUUAAAUUUUUUUUCUUCUUGUUGUUUUACCGAAAAAAAAAAUUCCAAGCUAACAUUGAUCUUCAAUUAAUGGUACACAUACUGAAGU